rnacentral:rRNA from 1 species
GAACGCUAGCGGCAGGCUUAACACAUGCAAGUCGAGGGGCAGCAUGACGAACCUUCGGGUUUUGUUGAUGGCGACCGGCGCAAGGGGUNCGUAACGCGUGAGCAACUUGCCCUUAUCAGGGGGAUAACCGGUGGAAACGCCGACUAAUACCCCAUAGUAUUGGCUUUAGGCAUCUUUAGUCAAUUAAAGAAUUUCGGAUAAGGAUAGGCUCGCGUGACAUUAGCUAGAUGGCGGGGUAACGGCCCACCAUGGCUACGAUGUCUAGGGGUUCUGAGAGGAAGGUCCCCCACACUGGAACUGAGACACGGUCCAGACUCCUACGGGAGGCAGCAGUGAGGAAUAUUGGUCAAUGGUCAGACGACUGAACCAGCCAUGCCGCGUGAAGGUGACGGCCCUAUGGGUCUUAAACUUCUUUUGCAAGGGAGCAAUAAGAGCUACGUGUAGCUUGAUGAGAGUACCUUGCGAAUAAGCAUCGGCUAACUCCGUG